UUCACUUCCACAGAAACCAAAACGGGAAACCAAAACGGGAAAACAAACCCAAUACAACAACCACCAUGAAUGACCCUUUAACCCUUCUCAUUUUCGCGGUUUUGAUCGCUUCUUCUGUCACCCGUGUGAGCUCUGACGCCUCCAAUCACCGCUACAAGGAAGGUGACCCUGUUCCCCUCUACGCCAAUAAAGUUGGCCCCUUUCACAACCC
rnacentral:misc_RNA from 1 species